rnacentral:rRNA from 1 species
UACGGAGGAUCCGAGCGUUAUCCGGAUUUAUUGGGUUUAAAGGGAGCGUAGGUGGAUUGUUAAGUCAGUUGUGAAAGUUUGCGGCUCAACCGUAAAAUUGCAGUUGAAACUGGGAGACUUGAGUGCAGAAGAGGAGAGUGGAACUCCAUGUGUAGCGGUGAAAUGCGUAGAUAUUAGGAGGAACACCGGUGGCGAAGGCGGCUUACUGGACUGUAACUGACGUUGAGGCUCGAAGGCGUGGGGAGCAAACAGG